UUCAGAACAAAUGAAGUGGUCACCUAA
rnacentral:piRNA from 1 species